UCAAUGUUGACAUUUGAGGAUGUUUGGUUUGCCCAGAUUCCACAUUUGUCGGUGGCUAAUGGGAGCUGAAUGUCCUUUACGGGACUUGAGGUAUAUUCCCUUUCCACAACAUUGUAGAACAACUGGCACCUAGGCUAGCAAUGGCCAGGAAAGCUAGACCCUGUAUAUUCCAUAACUUUCCCAGAGUUACUAUGUAACAAUGACUGGGGAGAUAAACCAUACAGGGAACAUGC
rnacentral:snoRNA from 1 species